CACAUUGUAAUACUGGUUCUCGUAUGAUCAGCGAAGUUAAGCAACGUCGCGCCUGGUCAAUACCCAGAUGGGUGACCGCUUGGGAAUACCAGGUGUAGUAAG